rnacentral:rRNA from 1 species
GUACACUCCUGCGGGAGGCAGCAGUGGGGAAUAUUGGACAAUGGGCGCAAGCCUGAUCCAGCCAUGCCGCGUGAGUGAUGAAGGCCCUAGGGUUGUAAAGCUCUUUCACCGGUGAAGAUAAUGACGGUAACCGGAGAAGAAGCCCCGGCUAACUUCGUGCCAGCAGCCGCGGUAAUACGAAGGGGGCUAGCGUUGUUCGGAUUUACUGGGCGUAAAGCGCACGUAGGCGGACUAUUAAGUCAGGGGUGAAAUCCCGGGGCUCAACCCCGGAACUGCCUUUGAUACUGGUAGUCUUGAGUUCGAGAGAGGUGAGUGGAAUUCCGAGUGUAGAGGUGAAAUUCGUAGAUAUUCGGAGGAACACCAGUGGCGAAGGCGGCUCACUGGCUCGAUACUGACGCUGAGGUGCGAAAGCGUGGGGAGCAAACAGGAUUAGAAACCCGUGUAGUCCCAUGA